GACUAAAUAAAAAGCUACUUGAGACUGAUUAUUGGGACGUCAAACCCAAAUCUCUCUCUUUCAUAGCUGUGACAUUAAUCAUCCCUCUGGAUCUGGUUCUGCAGGGGAAAUAACUCUGAAACAACACUCUCUCUUCCUGUUUCCAGCCGCUCAACAUGACGGAACCUCUCGUUCUCCAAUCAGUCCCCAGUUGGCUCCAGCUUUCACACAAACAUCCUAAAAAA